AACGAGUGAUUGUUCUGGGUUAAUGAAGUGAACGUGUGUAUCAAGGGCACCCGCAGUUAUGAUUUUACCUUCUGCAGCAAUAACAUCAGUUGUUGCUCCAAUAACAAUAUCAACAUUAUCCAUAAUAUCCGGAUUGCCUGCUUUACCAAUUUUCAUAAUAUAACCAUUUUUCACACCGAUAUCUGCUUUGAUUACUUUGUCAUAAUCUAAGAUUAACGCAUUAGUAAUCACUAAAUCUGCAACUUUUUUAUCGUCUCUUGUUACGUUAGGGUUUUGAGCCAUACCGUCUCGGAU
rfam:Staphylococcus cohnii subsp. cohnii strain 073AN genome assembly, contig: ERS576551SCcontig000001